AUUGAACGCUGGCGGCAUGCCUUACACAUGCAAGUCGAACGGCAGCACGGGAGCAAUCCUGGUGGCGAGUGGCGAACGGGUGAGUAAAGUAUCGGAACGUGCCCAGUCGUGGGGGAUAACGUAGCGAAAGUUACGCUAAUACCGCAUACGAUCUAUGGAUGAAAGCGGGGGAUCGCAAGACCUCGCGCGAUUGGAGCGGCCGAUAUCAGAUUAGGUAGUUGGUGGGGUAAAGGCUCACCAAGCCGACGAUCUGUAGCUGGUCUGAGAGGACGACCAGCCACACUGGGACUAGGACACGGCCCAGACUCCUACGGGAGGCAGCAGUGGGGAAUUUUGGACAAUGGGCGAAAGCCUGAUCCAGCCAUGCCGCGUGCAGGAUGAAGGCCUUCGGGUUGUAAACUGCUUUUGUACGGAACGAAAAGGUUUGGCCUAAUAAGCUGAGCUCAUGACGGUACCGUAAGUAUAAGCACCGGCUAACUACGUGCCAGCCGCCGCCGUAAAAC
rnacentral:rRNA from 1 species